rnacentral:misc_RNA from 1 species
UAGUUCAAUCCCUGAGCAUCAGGUACAAGUAUGACUACUGCAGAAGUUCUAAUUUAACUUUUUGAAUGUGAUGGCAAAUAGUGUCCAUAUACCCAAUAAAUAUCUUGUUUGCUGGAUUUUGUCAUAUUUUUCAAGGCACAUAACUCAUAAUUAGACUAUAUUUUUGAAGUGUGAAAGCUCUCUGUUCUUACCAUUAUGUACUAUUGCUG